rnacentral:rRNA from 1 species
GACGAACGCUGGCGGCGUGCCUAAUACAUGCAAGUUGAGCGCUGAAGGUUGGUACUUGUACCAACUGGAUGAGCAGCGAACGGGUGAGUAACGCGUGGGGAAUCUGCCUUUGAGCGGGGGACAACAUUUGGAAACGAAUGCUAAUACCGCAUAAAAACUUUAAACACAAGUUUUAAGUUUGAAAGAUGCAAUUGCAUCACUCAAAGAUGAUCCCGCGUUGUAUUAGCUAGUUGGUGAGGUAAAGGCUCACCAAGGCGAUGAUACAUAGCCGACCUGAGAGGGUGAUCGGCCCCAUUGGGACUGGGACACGGCCCAAACUCCUUCGGGGAGGCGCAGUAGGGGAUCUUCGGCAAUGGGCGGAAGUCUGAACGAGCAACGCCGCGUGAGUGAAGAAGGUUUUCGGAUCGUAAAACUCUGUUGGUAGGGAAGAACGUUGGUGGGAGUGGAAAGCUCAUCAAGUGACGGUAACUACCCAGAAAGCGACGGCUAACUACGUG